rnacentral:lncRNA from 1 species
UUACAAUACAAAACACAAACAACAAGAAACAUUAACAUUGCCACGAAAUUGAAUCACAAACAGUAAGAAGCAUUAACAUCGCCACGGAAUCGAAUCACAAACAUCAAUAAGCAUUAACACCGCCAUGAAGUCAAAUCAAAAUAACAAGAAACAUUAACACCACCAUGAAAUCAAAUCACAAACAAUAAGAAGCAUUAACACCGCCAUGAAAUCAAAUCACAAAUAAUAAGAAGCAUUAACACCACCAUGAAAUUGAAUCGAAAACUAAAUGCGACAAAUGAACUAAGAUUCUAACAACACCUUAAACAAAUUACUCGAAGUCGAAGAGUUACUGAAACAUCGUGCAAAAUGAAUCUUGACUCUAUUCGAUGCGUCUAGGCUGCUGCAAGUUUUGGAAUCGGAGUUGUUGGAAGGAAAGUGAACUUCGAAGAAUUAGAUGCCUUAUCACCAAAAAUCUAGAUUUGGACGCCUUCAGUCUUUGGCAAAAUAAAAAUCUAGCAAGAUCAAUCAUAUGAAUCUCACUUUCUUGUGUAUCCAACAUGAUCACAACGGUAAGUUCCUUUUCAAGGUUAAGUUUUCAAGUACUAUCGAUAACAGUUUGUGCCAUUCUCUAGUAGCAUGACACAUAAUGAUACUAGCAACCUUCAUUCCUCCAAUGACAAAUACUUCAAGCUGUUAAAACCCGCACAUGGCAGAUCUCAUGGUGCAGACAAGUUUCGUCCAUUCUUUUUAGCAUUGUUUUAGUGAUGGAAGGUCGAUUGUUGUUUUUGUGACAGAGGUGAAGUGGUGGUUCAUGGUUGGUAUGUAUGACAAGAGAGGGGUAGGAUUUGGUGGUGGGUGAUGAAUUAUUCACAACAAGAUUGAAAGUUAAGCGUGGAAGGGUGUAUAUCGGAGAGGGUUAUGGAGUUUGAUGAAGUUUUAAUGGUGGUUCUUGUUCUAAUGUACAGAAGAGGGAUGGGAAGGUUGUUUAUGGGUGGUGGUGAGAGUGUAACAGUGGGAAGAAACACGAUGAAGCAACCACGGUUUUGGAGGAAGGUGACAAUGUGUUCUUCGUUGGUGAUGAUGAAGGUUUUUGUUGGUGAUUUCCUGGAAAAAGAUGAAAUGGAUAUGAGGGAGGAGUAAUGUCAGUGAGUGGUUUUGGGAGAGGGAGAACAAUUUCUCAAAAAGUCUCAGAGAGAGAG